UACGGAGGGGGCUAGCGUUGUUCGGAAUUACUGGGCGUAAAGCGUGCGCAGGCGGUUUUGUAAGUUUGUCGUGAAAGCCCCGGGCUCAACCUGGGAAUUGCGAUGAAGACUGCAAGGCUUGAAUCUGGCAGAGGGGGGUAGAAUUCCACGUGUAGCAGUGAAAUGCGUAGAGAUGUGGAGGAACACCGAUGGCGAAGGCAGCCCCCUGGGUCAAGAUUGACGCUCAUGCACGAAAGCGUGGGGAGCAAACAGG
rnacentral:rRNA from 1 species